GGGACUAUGAUGACAAACCUAUGUCAUAAAGAGAGAUAGUGACAUAAAAAUCAUGCUCAAAAGAAUGAUGCUGAGGCCC